UGGGGGAUAUUGCACAAUGGGGGAAACCCUGAUGCAGCGACGCCGCGUGGAGGAAGAAGGUUUUCGGAUUGUAAACUCCUGUCGUUAGGGACGAUAAUGACGGUACCUAACAAGAAAGCACCGGCUAACUACGUGCCAGCAGCCGCGGUAAAACGUAGGUCACAAGCGUUGUCCGGAAUUACUGGGUGUAAAGGGAGCGCAGGCGGGAGAACAAGUUGGAAGUGAAAUCCAUGGGCUCAACCCAUGAACUGCUUUCAAAACUGUUUUUCUUGAGUAGUGCAGAGGUAGGCGGAAUUCCCGGUGUAGCGGUGGAAUGCGUAGAUAUCGGGAGGAACACCAGUGGCGAAGGCGGCCUACUGGGCACCAACUGACGCUGAGGCUCGAAAGUGUGGGUAGCAAACAGGAUUAGAUACCCUGGUAGUCCACACCGUAAACGAUGAUUACUAGGUGUUGGAGGAUUGACCCCUUCAGUGCCGCAGUUAACACAAUAAGUAAUCCACCUGGGGAGUACGACCGCAAGGUUGAAACUCAAAGGAAUUGACGGGGGCCCGCACAAGCAGUGGAGUAUGUGGUUUAAUUCGACGCAACGCGAAGAACCUUACCAAGUCUUGACAUCCCUUGACGAUGCUGGAAACAGCAUUUCUCUUCGGAGCAAGGAGACAGGUGGUGCAUGGUUGUCGUCAGCUCGUGUCGUGAGAUGUUGGGUUAAGUCUCGCAACGAGCGCAACCCUUAUGGUCAGUUACUACGCAAGAGGACUCUGGCCAGACUGCCGUUGACAAAACGGAGGAAGGUGGGGAUGACGUCAAAUCAUCAUGCCCUUUAUGACUUGGGCUACACACGUACUACAAUGGCGUUAAACAAAGAGAAGCAAGACCGCGAGGUGGAGCAAAACUCAGAAACAACGUCCCAGUUCGGACUGCAGGCUGCAACUCGCCUGCACGAAGUCGGAAUUGCUAGUAAUCGUGGAUCAGCAUGCCACGGUGAAUACGUUCCC
rnacentral:rRNA from 1 species